rnacentral:misc_RNA from 1 species
ACACACACACACACACACAAUAUUUCUGUCUUCCUUUUUCCAUCUAUCUCCCCCUCUCCCGCAUCUCUCCUUGCUUCCAUUUCUAAACAAUACAACAAGUGUUUCUUAAGGACAACAAAAAUUCAAAGUUGGAUCAAUAGUCAAAAUUGAGUGUGUUUUGAAAAAUCGCAGACAAAAUAACAAUAGUAAUUUUGAAAAAAAAAAUAAAAAUAAAAAUGGCUUUUGUUUUAAAGGAUUGAUAGUCAAAAUUGAGAUGAGAAGGAAAAACCCAAAGUUCUUUCCAUCUCUUGGACAGCACACAAGUUUGGAUUACUUGUUUAGUCUUGAGGGAAGGGAAGAGGUGAGGAAAGUUAUAGAAGAGUAGACCAAACCAACACCAGCAAUUGUAACAAUCUCAAAGCCAGUAGCCAUUGAGAUUUUACUCACAACCAUGUAAACAAUCAUUUUCUGAAUCAGCAGCAACAACAAGAGUGCUUGCCUCAACAGAAUCAGAAAUGGGCACAUUUACCUUUGACCAUAUGAGAAGCAUUAAGGGGUUUUGAUGCUGAAUUUAAGUGCUUCCCCGAAGCUCCUCCUGUAUGGCAAGCAAGAAAGACAAGGAAGAGAAGGUUGCAGGAUAGAGCAAUUGCAGAUCUUGUGGGGCAGUGUUUGUUCAGCGGCUGGUAGUGGUGCAAGAGAGAGAGAGAGAGAGA